UAACACGUAGGGGACAAGCGUUAUUCGGAAUUACUGGGCGUAAAGGGCAUGUAGGCGGCUUUGUAAGCCUGGCGUGAAAGUCCACAGCUCAACUGUGGGAUUGCGUCGGGAACUGCAGGGCUUGAGUCAUGGAGAGGAAGGUAGAAUUCCUGGUGUAGGGGUGAAAUCUGUAGAGAUCAGGAAGAAUACCAGUGGCGAAGGCGACCUUCUGGCCAAUGACUGACGCUGAGGUGCGAAAGUGUGGGGAUCAAACAGG
rnacentral:rRNA from 1 species